CGGAGGGUGCAAGCGUUAUCCGGAUUUACUGGGUUUAAAGGGUGUGUAGGCGGGCUAUUAAGUCAGUGGUGAAAUCUCCGGGCUCAACCUGGAAACUGCCAUUGAUACUAUUAGUCUUGAAUUUUGUUGAGGUAGGCGGAAUAAGUCAUGUAGCGGUGAAAUGCAUAGAUAUGACUUAGAACACCAAUUGCGAAGGCAGCUUGCUAAACAAAUAUUGACGCUGAGGCACGAAAGCGUGGGGGAUCAAACAGGAUUAGAUACCCUGGUAGUCCACGCCCUAAACGAUGAUUACUCGACAUACGCGAUACACAGUGUGUGUCUGAGCGAAAGCAUUAAGUAAUCCACCUGGGAAGUACGACCGCAAGGUUG
rnacentral:rRNA from 1 species